ensembl:lncRNA novel transcript
ACAUAGACCUUGGACUGACCGUCCCAGAGGCGGAACUCCUUGUGGGUCCCGCCAGAGCUACUGGGCUGAGAGCUGGGCAGAAUAGAGGCCAGAUGAUGAGACUGGGGCUGCAGGAGCAGCCGAUUCCCAGUCUUCCCCUGCAGGAAAGACCGGGAGGCUGUCCCCGUGGUCUCACCGGCCCUGUGCAUGGUGACCUGGGCCUCCAGGGGAGUGGCCGGGUGCCCUGUUGGAUGUCCUGUAGCGAAUUUGUCUCUGGGAGAAGAGCAGAGAGAUGAAGGCCUCCAUGCCACAGCCCAGGCCGUGCACAUUUGUGUUGACCUUGGCCACAGGCCGACGGCGCGUCUGCGAGGUCUCUGCAUUGCAAGGCCCUUCUCCUCCUGAACUGAAGGCCUUCUUCCUCCUUUCCCCUCCUGAUUCUCUCGCCCUCCUGGUGCAUCCAGGUGCCCGUGAUCCUGUUCCCGUCCUCGGCGUCCGGGGCUCCGUUCUUUCCACCUGGCGUGUCGUUCCCUGAGCUGGAAGCUCCUGCCUGGGUCCUGUCCUCCUGCUGUUCCUCAUCCAAAGUUUCAUGGACACCAAGACAGGCAGUGCCCUCCACCAUAAGCUGGGGAGCCCUUGGGCCCUGGUGUCACCACAUCUUCUCAGAGACCUCCACCUUCCUGGCUUCUCCCUCUUCUUCCUUCCGACGUCUUUGUCCUGCAGACAGCCUGGGUCUUGCUCUGGGUGAGGCAUCCUGGAGCUGAGACCUUGAGGCCUGACCUAGUGGUGCCCCUUGGCACGGCCCGUUCCUGACAACACAGUGGUGUCACAGGAUUGAUUCUAACGCCUCAUGCUCCCUAACAGUGAAAGUGACAGUCAACUGGGCCUGUAGCGUGUUCAGAGGAGCUGGUGAGGAACCCCCUGGAGCCCCGGAAAGCUGGAUCUAGUGCAGCCCCGCACAGCCCUGGUGGAGGCCAGCUCUGCCGUUUGCCGUGUGCCCUGGGGUGCAUGCUGUCUGAGGGUGCACCCUGUGCAUGACAUGGUGGCAGCCCCCACCCUCCCAUGUGGAGGGAACAAUAGCAGUGAAGACCCAGGAGCCACCGGCUUCCAGGAGGAGGCCCUGGUCUUUCUUCAGAGCAACUUCGAGGUGCGACCCAGGAUACACUUUGGGAAAUGCUGGCCGAUGGGCAGCCCCGGCCUCUGGUGGAAGUACACGUCCCUCAUCCCAAUAUAAGUGCGUGCCACCUCCUUGUG